GUGGCUCGAAGUUGGUUCAGCAUUGUUGUGUCAUCAGAAGCCGAGAACAAAUGUCUAUCACCUCUGAACCGAUGUUUCCUGCCAGGGUCAAAAGUUUUGAUCAAUUGGCAAGGUUAAGAAUUUUAGGAAAAGAACUUGACUGGCUUUAAGAAAGGCGGAUGAAGAAUGCAUCAGCUGUACUGCUGAAGCAGGAAAAACCUGGACUGUGCUGUCUACAUAUCCACUAAAUUACCAGAUACUUUUUCCAUGUCGAGUAUUUACUCAAGAACUGAGUCCAUUCAUUACCAUGAAGCUUUACAAUAUCUGCUGAAGAACCCCUACCAAAGAUCACCCAAUCUUCAUCGUUAUCAUCUUUACAGUCAGUGACUCAGUGUUCAAGUUUACAGCAAUUAUAUCAGAACAGAGUUCAAAAUUUCAGAGCAAAGAUCAUACCCACA